ensembl:lncRNA novel transcript, antisense to ARC
GACAGGCUUGGCAGGUACUAAGCCAGAUGGAGGCAUGACCCUGGGAGGGGGUGGAGUGCAAAGAGGUGCAGAGCACCCCAUAAAAUAAGGGGUUGGGCAUCACCAUGCCCCCUGCAGGCUUUGCCACCCAUCAGCACCAGCAAGUCGCCCCACCCAGAGCUCUGCAAAGAACACCGCCAGCUCUUUCCUUCCGGGUGCUCUUGCUGGGGGGUCAGGCUGGUCCCCUCUGACUGGCACUGCCCACGCUGGGACAUGGGAGGAGGGCCAUCUGGGCACUGCAGGAGCAGAUCCUGGGUGCACAUGGGGAGACAGGUGUGCUGGCAGGAACAGCAGGCGGGGCUGAGCUCAGGAGGCGCCUCACAGCGGGUGCCUCCAGCCUGGUCUGAGCACGGGAUGAAGAACCAGGCACCGCUCAUCGUGCAUCUCCACAAGGCACUGUGUGACUUCAUGCAAGCCGCUCAACCUCUCUGGCCCCACGUCCUUGUCCACAGGGGCAGAGUGGACUGAAUGGAGGCUGAGGUCCCUCUCAGCUUGGGUGGUGUGGCAGAGGGUGAGGAGGAGCCCAUGGGCCCUGGAUCACCAGCCUCCCUCCACCCAGAAUGCCCCGUCCACUCCACUGCCCACCACCCUCUGUGCAAUUGACAAACGUCCUGGUGUUAACGCCUAAGCAUAAAGAGUCGGCUUUGCUGUAA